CGGGCCGUAGCUCAGCGGUUGAGAGCGCCCGGCUGUAGAACGGGCGGUCCCGGGUUCGAAUCCCGGCGGCCCGA
rnacentral:ncRNA from 19 species